UACGUAGGGUGCAAGCGUUAAUCGGAAUUACUGGGCGUAAAGCGUGCGCAGGCGGUUUUGUAAGUCUGACGUGAAAUCCCCGGGCUCAACCUGGGAAUUGCGUUGGAGACUGCAAGGCUAGAAUCUGGCAGAGGGGGGUAGAAUUCCACGUGUAGCAGUGAAAUGCGUAGAUAUGUGGAGGAACACCGAUGGCGAAGGCAGCCCCCUGGGUCAAGAUUGACGCUCAUGCACGAAAGCGUGGGGAGCAACAGG
rnacentral:rRNA from 1 species